rnacentral:rRNA from 1 species
GACGAAGGGGGCUAGCGUUGCUCGGAAUGACUGGGCGUAAAGGGCGCGUAGGCGGAUUGUACAGUCAGGCGUGAAAUUCCCGGGCUCAACCUGGGGGCUGCGCUUGAGACGUGCGAUCUUGAGUGGGGAAGAGGGUCGUGGAAUUCCCAGUGUAGAGGUGAAAUUCGUAGAUGUUGGGAAGAACACCGGUGGCGAAGGCGGCGACCUGGUCCUUUUACUGACGCUGAGGCGCGAAAGCGUGGGGAGCAAACAGG